AGUCACUGACAUUAGAUACCCGUGUAGUCCAGGGUGUAAACGCUGCAGACUUGGUGUUGGAGGCCCUUUGGGCAUUCAGUGCCGGAGAGAAGUUGUUAAGUCUGCUACUUGGGGAGUACGUCCGCAAGGAUGAAACUUAAAGGAAUUGGCGGGGGAGCACCGCAACGGGAGGAGCGUGCGGUUUAAUUGGAUUCAACACCGUAAACUCACCAGGGAAGACUGUUACAUGAAGGCCGAGAUGAAGACUCUGCUAGAUUUUCAG
rnacentral:rRNA from 1 species